rnacentral:rRNA from 1 species
GAAGCGAAGCGGUGACGUGGAGCAAACCUCAGAAAGCCAAUCUCAGUUCGGAUUGUAGGCUGCAACUCGCCUACAUGAAGUUGGAAUCGCUAGUAAUCGCGAAUCAGAAUGUCGCGGUGAAUACGUUCCCGGGUCUUGUACACACCGCCCGUCACACCACGAGAGUUUACAACACCCGAAGUCAGUGGCCUAACCGUAAGGAGGGAGCUGCCUAAGGUGGGGUAGAUGAUUGGGGUGAAGUCGUAACAAGGUAAC